AACGAACGCUGGCGGCAGGCUUAACACAUGCAAGUCGAACGGUUGUAGCAAUACAGCAGUGGCAGACGGGUGAGUAACACGUGGGAACCUUCCUAGGGGUACGGAACAACUCAGGGAAACUUGAGCUAAUACCGUAUACGUCCGUGAGGAGAAAGAUUUAUCGCCCUUAGACGGGCCCGCGUCGGAUUAGCUAGUUGGUGGGGUAACGGCCUACCAAGGCGACGAUCCGUAGCUGAUCUUAGAGGAUGAUCAGCCACACUGGGACUGAGACACGGCCCAGACUCCUACGGGAGGCAGCAGUGGGGAAUCUUGGACAAUGGGCGCAAGCCUGAUCCAGCCAUGCCGCGUGAGUGAAGAAGGUCUUCGGAUUGUAAAGCUCUUUUGCCAGGGACGAUAAUGACGGUACCUGGAGAAUAAGCCCCGGCAAACUUCGUGCCAGCAGCCGCCGUAA
rnacentral:rRNA from 1 species